GACGAACGCUGGCGGCGUGCUUAACACAUGCAAGUCGAACGGAAAGGCCCUGCUUUUGUGGGGUGCUCGAGUGGCGAACGGGUGAGUAACACGUGAGUAACCUGCCCUUGACUUUGGGAUAACUUCAGGAAACUGGGGCUCAUACCGGAUAGGAGCUCCUGCUGCAUGGGGGGGGUUGGAAAGUUUCGGCGGUUGUGGAUAGACUCGCGGCUUAUCAGCUUGUUUGUGGGGUAGUGGCUUACCAAGGGUUUGACGGGUAGCCGGCCUGGGAGGGUGACCGGGCACAAUGGGACUGCGAGACGGCCCAGAAUCCUACGGGAGGCAGCAGGCGGGAGUAUUGCGCAGUGACGGGACGCCUGAUGCAGCAGCGCCCGGUGCGGGAUGACGUGCUUUGGGUGAUAAACCGCUGUGGCAUGUGACAAAGCGUGAGUGACGGUAAUGGGUAAAGAAGCAACGGCUAACUACGUG
rnacentral:rRNA from 1 species